rnacentral:rRNA from 1 species
GACGAACGCUGGCGGCAGGCUUAACACAUGCGAGUCGCACGACAACGCCAUGGGCUUUGCCAGGGCAAGUACAGUGGCGGACGGGUGCGUAACGCGUAGAUUACCUGCCCUCAUGCGCGGGACAAUCGCGGGAAACCGCGGCUAAUACCGCACGACCUCCAAGCCCCGCAUGGGGGCUGGAUGAAACCUUGGUUUUGCCGAGGGCCUUUGGAUGGGUCUGCGUCUGAUUAACUUGUUGGUGAGGUAACGGCUCACCGGAGUAACGAUCCGUAACUGGUCUGAGAGGACUAUCAGUCACACAUGGGACUGAGACACCGCCCAGACGCCUACGGGAGGCAUCAGUGGGGAAUCUUGCACAAUGGGGUCACCCCUGAUGCAUGCAUGCCGCGUGGAGGAAGACACCCCUAUGGGGCGUAAACUCCAUUACUGAGACAAUAACCCCCUGUAUGUUCAGGGUGUGACGGUAUCUGACGAAUAAACACCGGCUAACUCCCUGCCAUCAUCCGCAGGGAUACAGAGGGUGCAAGCGUUGUCGGGAAUCACUGGGGGUCAAGGGUGCGCAUGCGGGGCAGCAGGUCGGAUGUGAAAGCCCGUGGCUCACCCACGGAAGCGCCUUCGAAUCUGUUGCUGUAGAGUCCCUGAGAGGUUGCCGGAAUUGGUGGUGUAGCGUUGAAAUGAGUAGAUAUCACGAGGAACACCAGAGGCGUAAGCGGGCAACUGGACGGGUAGUGACGAUCAGGCACGAAAGCGCGGGGAGCAAACAGGAUUAGAUACGCUGGUAGUCCGCGCUGUAAUCGAUGAAUGCUCGCUGCUAUUCCGCUUAAGGAAUAGUGGUUAAGCUAACGCGUUAAGCAUUCCGCGUGGGGAGUACGAUCGCAAGGUUGAAACUCAAAGGAAUUGAGGGGGGCCCGCACAAGCGGUGGAGCAUGUGGCUCAAUUCGAUGCAACGCGAAGAACAUUACGUAGGCUCGAACGGUAGAGGACCGCUCCUGAAAGGGAGCUUCCCCUUUGGGGCAUGUAGUGAGCUAUUGCAUGGCUGUGGUCAGCUCGUGUCGUGAGAUGUUGGGUUAAGUCCCGCAACGAGCGUAACCCUUGUCGUUAGUUACCAGCGGGUAGUGCCGGGGGCUCUAGCGAGACCGCGUGCGCAAGCAGUGAGGAAGGUGGGGAUGACGUCAAGUCAUCAUGGUCGUUACGCAUUGGGCUGCACCCGUGUUCCAAUGGUUGGGACAACGAGCAGCCACCUCGUGAGAGGGAGAGAAUCUCUCAAACCCGAUGGUAGUUCGGAUUGGAGUUUGCAACUCGACUCCAUGUAGCAGGAAUGGCUAGUAAUCGCGGAUCAGCAAUGCCGCGGUGAAUUCGUUCCCGGGCGUUGUACACACCGCCGGUCAAGCCACGGAAGGUAAGAGCACCCGAAGUCCGUGACUGGGCUCCAGCACUGCGCCGGAGCGGGAGCGGCCGAAGGUGAGCUUAGUGACUGGGGCU